CUCGGCCAUUGACUAUGCAGGCGCUGGUGGCUCGGGCUCCCGGAUCUCUGUGUCCCACUCCACCAGUUUCCAGGGCAGCUGGGGGUCCGGGGGCCUGACCACGGGGAUGGCUGGGAGUCUGGGGUGGGAUCCAGAGUGAGAAGGAGAUCAUGCAAGAGCUGAAUGACUGCUUGGCCUCCUACCUGGAGAGGGUUAGGAGUCUGGAGCCCGAGAACUGGAGGCUGGAGAGCAAACUCCGGGAACACCUGGAGAAGAAGGGACCCCAGGUCAGAGACUGGGGACAUUACUUCAAGACCAUCGAGGACCUGAGGGGUCAGAUCUUUGCAAAUUCUGUGAACAAUGCCCGCAUCGUUCAGAUUGACAAUGCCCGUCUUGCUGCUGAUGACUUUAGAGUCAAGUAUGAGACAGAGCUGGCCAUGCGCCAGUCUGUGGAGAGAGACAUCCAUGGGCUCCACAAGGUCAUUGAUGACACCAAUGUCACCCAGCUGCAACUGGAGACAGAGAUCGAGGCCCUCAAGAAAGAGCUGCUCUUCAUAAAGAAGAACCAUGAGGAGGAAGUAAAAGGCCUA